CAGCCUCAGGCUGAUUAUGGGUUUCAGCCUGGAGUGAAUCGACCUGGUGGUGGUGGUGGAGAAAGUGAAUAUGGAUCUGGGUAUGGAAGGAAGAGUGAGUACGAACAGCCAAGUUCCGAAUACGGAUCUGGGUAUGGGAGGAAGACUGAGUAUGAAGAACCGACCCCCCAAUAUGGAUCUGGGUACGGGAGAAAGACUGAAUAUGAAGAGCCCACUCCCCAAUAUGGAUCUGGGUACGGGAGAAAGUCUGAAUAUGAAGAACCCACUCCCCAGUAUAGAUCCGGGUAUGGAAGGAAGAGUGAGAAUGAAGAACCCACUCCCAAGUAUGGAUCUGGGUAUGGGAGAAAGAGUGAAUAUGAAGAACCCACUCCCCAAUAUGGAUCCGGGUACGGAAGGAAGAGCGAAUAUGAAGAACCCACUCCUCAAUAUGGAUCCGGGUAUGGAAGGAAGAGUGAAUAUGAGGAGCCAAGUUCGGAAUACGGGUCGGGGUACCGAAAGAAGAGUGAAUAUGAGGAGCCAAGUUCCGAAUACGGGUCGGGUUAUGGGCGUAGAACUGAAUCUGAUGAAUAUGGAUAUGGGAGGAAGCCAAGCUAUGGACAGGAGGAAGGUUAUGGGCGUUCAAGCUACCAGCCUGAGGAGGGGGAAGGAUACGAUAGGC
rnacentral:lncRNA from 1 species